GUAAUGCGUGACCAACCUGCCCACUGCUCCAGAAUAGCUCUUGGAAACGGGUGGUAAUGCUGGAUGCUCCAACUUGACGCAUGUCUUGUUGGAAAGUGUUUAGUGGCAUGGGAUGGGGUCGCGUCCUAUCAGCUUGUAGGCGGGGUAAUGGCCCACCUAGGCUUCGACGGGUAGCCGGCCUGAGAGGGCGGACGGCCACAUUGGGACUGAGAUACGGCCCAGACUCCUACGGGAGGCAGCAGGU
rnacentral:rRNA from 1 species